rnacentral:lncRNA from 1 species
CAGAGGCAGAGCAGACAAAAGACACAACAGUUUCCUGGGAAAGGAAGAUGAUUCCAGUUUAAUCCAUCCAACAAAACUCUUCCAAGAAUGAGACCAGAAACCCUAACUGCAUCUUGGAGGGAGCUGGAGGCUUUCCCAUCACAAUGAGGCCAACUGCUACCAUGGGUGCCAGUGCCAGAGCCACUGUCUGCAGGCACUAUCAUGUCUGCGUGGGCCAAAGAGCAAUCUAAAUUAAGAUGAUCGUCUGGGUCCUCAGGCCCUCAGGG